GACGAACGCUGGCGGCGUGCUUAACACAUGCAAGUCGAACGGAAAGGCCCUUCGGGGUACUCGAGUGGCGAACGGGUGAGUAACACGUGGGUGAUCUGCCCUGCACUUUGGGAUAAGCCUGGGAAACUGGGUCUAAUACCGAAUAGGAUCAUCGGCUUCAUGGUCGGUGGUGGAAAGCUUUUGCGGUGUGGGAUGGGCCCGCGGCCUAUCAGCUUGUUGGUGGGGUAAUGGCCUACCAAGGCGACGACGGGUAGCCGGCCUGAGAGGGUGACCGGCCACACUGGGACUGAGAUACGGCCCAGACUCCUACGGGAGGCAGCAGUGGGGAAUACUGCACAAUGGGCGCAAGCCUGAUGCAGCGACGCCGCGUGAGGGAUGACGGCCUUCGGGUUGUAAACCUCUCUCAGCAGGGACGAAGCGCAAGUGACGGUACCUGUAGAAGAAGGACCGGCCAACUACGUGCCAGCCGCCGCCGUAA
rnacentral:rRNA from 1 species